UUCGGUGGCAAUAGCGAGAGGGUCACACCCGUUCCCAUCCCGAACACGGCCGUUAAGCCCCUCAGCGCCGAUGGUACUGCCCGGGUAACCGGGUGGGAGAGUAGGUCGCCGCCGAUU
rnacentral:rRNA from 1 species